UACGUAGGGUGCGAGCGUUGUCCGGAAUUAUUGGGCGUAAAGGGCUCGUAGGCGGUUUGUCGCGUCGGGAGUGAAAACACCGGGCUUAACUCGGUGCUUGCUUUCGAUACGGGCAGACUAGAGGCAUGCAGGGGAGAACGGAAUUCCUGGUGUAGCGGUGAAAUGCGCAGAUAUCAGGAGGAACACCGGUGGCGAAGGCGGUUCUCUGGGCAUGUCCUGACGCUGAUGCGCGACAGCGUGGGGAGCAAACAGG
rnacentral:rRNA from 1 species